ensembl:rRNA 5S_rRNA 5S ribosomal RNA
GCUUACGGCCAUACCACCCUGAGCAUGCCCGAUCUCGUCUGAUCUCGCAAGCUAAGCAGCGUUGGGCUUGGUUAGUACUUGGAUUGUAGACUGCCUGGGAAUACCAGGUGCUGUAAGCU